UACAGAGGUCCCAAGCGUUGUUCGGAUUCAUUGGGCGUAAAGGGUGCGUAGGUGGCGCGCUAAGUCGGGUGUGAAAUUUCGGAGCUUAACUCCGAAACUGCAUUCGAUACUGGUGUGCUUGAGGACUGGAGAGGAGACUGGAAUUCAUGGUGUAGCAGUGAAAUGCGUAGAGAUCAUGAGGAGGACCAGUGGCGAAGGCGGGUCUCUGGACAGUUCCUGACACUGAGGCACGAAGGCCAGGGGAGCAAACGGG
rnacentral:rRNA from 1 species